rnacentral:rRNA from 1 species
CGGGAAUCUUCGGAUUCUAGUGGCGGACGGGUGAGUAACGCGUAAGAAUCUAACUUCAGGACGGGGACAACAGUUGGAAACGACUGCUAAUACCCGAUGUGCCGCGAGGUGAAACCUAAUUGGCCUGAAGAAGAGCUUGCGUCUGAUUAGCUAGUUGGUGGGGUAAGAGCCUACCAAGGCGACGAUCAGUAGCUGGUCUGAGAGGAUGAGCAGCCACACUGGGACUGAGACACGGCCCAGACUCCUACGGGAGGCAGCAGUGGGGAAUUUUCCGCAAUGGGCGAAAGCCUGACGGAGCAACGCCGCGUGAGGGAGGAAGGUCUUUGGAUUGUAAACCUCUUUUCUCAAGGAAGAAGUUCUGACGGUACUUGAGGAAUCAGCCUCGGCUAACUCCGUGCCAGCAGCCGCGGUAAUACGGGGGAGGCAAGCGUUAUCCGGAAUUAUUGGGCGUAAAGCGUCCGCAGGUGGUCAGCCAAGUCUGCCGUCAAAUCAGGUUGCUUAACGACCUAAAGGCGGUGGAAACUGGCAGACUAGAGAGCAGUAGGGGUAGCAGGAAUUCCCAGUGUAGCGGUGAAAUGCGUAGAGAUUGGGAAGAACAUCGGUGGCGAAAGCGUGCUACUGGGCUGUAUCUGACACUCAGGGACGAAAGCUAGGGGAGCGAAAGGGAUUAGAUACCCCUGUAGUCCUAGCCGUAAACGAUGGAUACUAGGCGUGGCUUGUAUCGACCCGAGCCGUGCCGAAGCUAACGCGUUAAGUAUCCCGCCUGGGGAGUACGCACGCAAGUGUGAAACUCAAAGGAAUUGACGGGGGCCCGCACAAGCGGUGGAGUAUGUGGUUUAAUUCGAUGCAACGCGAAGAACCUUACCAAGACUUGACAUGUCGCGAACCCNGGNNAAAGCUGGGGGUGCCUUCGGGANCGCGAAC